CUCUGUGACUCCUACGGGAGGCAGCAGUGGGAAUAUUGCACAUGGGGAAACCCUGAUGCAGCCAUGCCGCGUGUGUGAAGAAGGCCUUCGGGUUGUAAAGCACUUUCAGUCGUGAGGAAGGUAGUGUAGUUAAUAGCUGCAUUAUUUGACGUUAGCGACAGAAGAAGCACCGGCUAACUCCGUGCCAGCAGCCGCGGUAAUACGGAGGGUGCGAGCGUUAAUCGGAAUUACUGGGCGUAAAGCGCAUGCAGGCGGCCUGUUAAGUCAGAUGUGAAAGCCCGGGGCUUAACCUCGGAAUUGCAUUUGAAACUGGCAGGCUAGAGUCUUGUAGAGGGGGUAGAAUUUCAGGUGUAGCGGUGAAAUGCGUAGAGAUCUGAAGGAAUACCAGUGGCGAAGGCGGCCCCCUGGACAAAGACUGACGCUCAGAUGCGAAAGCGUGGGGAGCAAACAGGAUUAGAUACCCUGGUAG
rnacentral:rRNA from 1 species